GAGGAAGGUGGGGAUGACGUCAAAUCAUCAUGCCCCUUAUGACCUGGGCUACACACGUGCUACAAUGGGAAGUACAACGAGUCGCGAAGUCGCGAGGCUAAGCUAAUCUCUUAAAGCUUCUCUCAGUUCGGAUUGCAGGCUGCAACUCGCCUGCAUGAAGCCGGAAUCGCUAGUAAUCGCGGAUCAGCACGCCGCGGUGAAUACGUUCCCGGGCCUUGUACACACCGCCCGUCACACCACGAGAGUUUAUAACACCCGAAGUCGGUGAGGUAACCUUUUGGAGCCAGCCGCCUAAGGUGGGAUAGAUGAUUGGGGUGAAGUCGUAACAAGGUAGCCGUAUCGGAAGGUGCGGCUGGAUCACCUCCUUUCUAAGGAA
rnacentral:rRNA from 1 species